rnacentral:rRNA from 1 species
UACGUAGGGGGCAAGCGUUGUCCGGAUUUAUUGGGCGUAAAGAGCUCGUAGGCGGUUUAGAAAGUCAGGUGUGAAACCUCCAGCUCAACCUGGAGACGCCACUUGAUACUUCUAUGACUUGAGUUCGGUAGGGGACCAUGGAAUUCCUGGUGUAGCGGUGAAAUGCGCAGAUAUCAGGAGGAACACCGAUGGCGAAGGCAGUGGUCUGGGCCGAUACUGACGCUGAGGAGCGAAAGCGUGGGGAGCGAACAGG